rnacentral:rRNA from 1 species
GAUGAACGCUGGCGGCGUGCCUAAUACAUGCAAGUCGAGCGAACAGACGAGGAGCUUGCUCCUCUGACGUUAGCGGCGGACGGGUGAGUAACACGUGGAUAACCUACCUAUAAGACUGGGAUAACUUCGGGAAACCGGAGCUAAUACCGGAUAAUAUAUUGAACCGCAUGGUUCAAUAGUGAAAGACGGUUUUGCUGUCACUUAUAGAUGGAUCCGCGCCGCAUUAGCUAGUUGGUAAGGUAACGGCUUACCAAGGCAACGAUGCGUAGCCGACCUGAGAGGGUGAUCGGCCACACUGGAACUGAGACACGGUCCAGACUCCUACGGGAGGCAGCAGUAGGGAAUCUUCCGCAAUGGGCGAAAGCCUGACGGAGCAACGCCGCGUGAGUGAUGAAGGUCUUCGGAUCGUAAAACUCUGUAUUUAGGGAAGAACAAAUGUGUAAGUAACUAUGCACGUCUUGACGGUACCUAAUCAGAAAGCCACGGCUAACUACGUG